GAGUUCCUGCCCCCCGGGGUAGAUCUCCCACCCUAGCUUAUCCAACUUUGUUGCUUUGGCGGGCCGUCCGUUCGGCCACCGGCCCCCCGGCUGGUGCGUGCCCGUCAGAGACCCACACACGCUCUUGAUUGUGUUGUCUGAGUCCUUAUAUAAUCGUUAAAACUUUCAACAACGGAUCUCUUGGUUCU
rnacentral:misc_RNA from 1 species